rnacentral:lncRNA from 1 species
AGCAUAGAGCUUCGAGGGAUUUCUUAGGAUCUGGUUGGGGUUUUUUCUAGAGCAUAAGGGUUUCUGUGUGAGUUUUGGUGGUGUAAGUGGUAGAGGCCCGAGAUGGUUGAGGUGGUGCUGGUGCUAGAGUGGGCAGUGGUGGUGGUAUUGGAGGUCGGAAGAAGGGUACAGAGAUUAGAGGGUUUUUUAAGAUUCAAUUGGGGUUUUUUCUCGAGCAUACAGAUUUUUGUGCGAGUUGUGGUAAGGGCACCGAUGGGGGCCUCACGGCAUCCGACAAAGGUGGCGAGGAGACGAAGGGUGAUGGGGAGGCCAAUUGCAGGAGAGAGAGAGAGGUGGAGGCUAAGCAUUGUUUGGGUUAUAAGCUAGUGUUACGUAAUAUUGCAUGCAUACCUGCUCGUGGAUUGCUAACAAAUGCCAUG